CUUUUUAUGAGAGUUUGAUCCUGGCUCAGGAUGAACGCUGGCGGCGUGCUUAACACAUGCAAGUCGAACGAAGCAUUUAAGACAGAUUACUUCGGUUUGAAGUCUUUUAUGACUGAGUGGCGGACGGGUGAGUAACGCGUGGGUAACCUGCCUCAUACAGGGGGAUAGCAGCUGG
rnacentral:rRNA from 1 species